rnacentral:rRNA from 1 species
UACGUAGGGUGCGAGCGUUGUCCGGAAUUACUGGGCGUAAAGAGCUCGUAGGCGGUUUGUCGCGUCGUCCGUGAAAACUUGGGGCUCAACCCCAAGCUUGCGGGCGAUACGGGCAGACUUGAGUACUGCAGGGGAGACUGGAAUUCCUGGUGUAGCGGUGAAAUGCGCAGAUAUCAGGAGGAACACCGGUGGCGAAGGCGCCACUCUGGGCCGGUACUGACACUGAGGAGCGAAAGCGUGGGUAGCAAACAGG